GUGAUUUUGUGUGGAAAGUUAUUUUUAUACUGUUAUAUUGAUGCACAGUAUGUUUUGUUCACGACAUGUUUGAAAUAUCUCACUUUUUGAGCAGUAUUCGUGAGGCUGCGCCUUCAGAAAGUACACCUGUUGUUGAGAUUUCGUGUGCAUUUUGUCUUUGUUCGUGAGGCUGCGCUGUCAGCAAGUACACCUGUCAUAGUGAUUUAGAGCGGUAGGUUAUUUUUAUCCUGUUCUGAUAAACAGUAUGUUUUGCUCACAUCACAUUUAAAAUAUUUCACUGUGUGUGCAGUAUUUUGUCUGUGUGCCUGACGCUGCGCUGUCAGACGUUCAUCCAUUACAGAGAUUUUGUGCGGUAAGUUAUUUUUAUUGUUACAUUAAUGCUAAGGUCACA